rnacentral:rRNA from 1 species
GCCCAAGAGAUCGGGAUAACACCUGGAAACAGAUGCUAAUACCGGAUAACAACAGAUGAUGCCUAUCAACUGUUUAAAAGAUGGUUCUGCUAUCACUCUUGGAUGGACCUGCGGUGCAUUAGCUAGUUGGUAGGGUAACGGCCUACCAAGGCGAUGAUGCAUAGCCGANGUUUGAGAGACUGAUCGGCCACAUUGGGACUGAGACACGGCCCAAACUCCUACGGGAGGCAGCAGGG